GAGGCAGAGGAAGGUGGAUCUCAGCACAUUUUGUGCCCUCCCCGCCUCCAAAUUGCCUCAGUUACAAAUCGGAAGGCAGGCUUGGUGACCAGGACUGGCAAGCACAUUUUAAAGUCCCAUGCUGUGGAGUUGAUCCAUCUCAACUUGAGUCAGAAGAGGCAGAAGUGGAUGUGAGAGAAAGAGACACACAGAGAGACAGAGAGCCAAAGAGGGCAAGAGACUUGACUUUAAGAGACUCCUGUACUGACAACUCCAUGCAGUUCGGAGCCAGAACGACUGCGGCUGGACCAGGGUUCAUGGGGACAUGGCAAAAUGCUGAUACUAACCUCUUAUUCAGAAUGUCCCAACAGGCCUGUCACCCUGGCUACUAAAGAAUCCUCAGACUUCAGUGGUUGGCUUACCAACUGCAGUCUUCAGUUUGGUAUUUAGUGCCAAGAAGGAAAGUGAUCAUUUCACAUCCAUUGAUUGGUUCUCGAUUCCAGGCUGCACUGUAAAUGUAUGUAUAUAAUAACUAAUUUGAUUCUUAUGAUAGUCUAAUGGAAUCAGGAAGUGUUCUAUCUUGAUUCUCCAGAUCUAGAAAACUAGCUUUUAACUUGGCAGUGUCUUCAUGGAAAGUUACUCAGUAGCAAUAUUCAGUACCAGUUCCCUAAAGAAACAAAGUUAUUAAGGAGUGCUAUGCUUUUUGUUCCAG